ensembl:lncRNA LINC02401 long intergenic non-protein coding RNA 2401
UCUUCCCUUCCCCACCUUGAGUGUACAAUGGAGAGUGCUAGUGUGGUGUCACAUGGUGCAACAUGGCUCAGUGUUGUGUGAAACUAAGAUUUGGGGCAUAUUUUAUAAUGAACAUAACAUAUGAGCAUAACAGUCGUGAUUAACGUAUACAAUUAAAGAUAUGUGGAAAUGACUCCAUCUCCGACCACACAUCCUCUGAGUAAUUUUGAUGGGGAUGGCUUAUGUUCUACUGCCACCUCGUGGUGGGCAUUCUGUGAACAUGCAUCUUGGAACAGUGGGGAGAACCAGUUUGGACUUCUGAGGAUCCAAAAGCCCAAGAAAAAAAUCUGAGUUCUCACGACAAAGUCACUUCCUGCUACAACACCUGGAAAAUGUCAUGACCCGAGCUAGUCUCACUUCAGAGUCCCUGGUUUCUAGUACGGUGCCUGACAGAUAGAUGACUUUCUUUAUAUGUUGCUGAAGACAGGCAGAGAGGAAGAAAGGAAGAGAGGAUAAAGGGAGGAAUAAACUUGAUAUAAGCAUCUUUGCAUAAUUAACAACUGGGUCAAAUUUUCUUCAUUUCAUUGAGAUUCUUGAUACAAGCCUCUGCUGAUGAAUUGGAUUCCAAAAAGCAGAUAUUGUUGUCCAGGCCACACCAUACGGGACUUACCACUCCCAGUUGCUAACAUCUGCACGUAUUUGCCUGGAGGUCUCCUCUGGUCACCAGAUCCUACUCUGCCUGGGCCACAUGACAAGGUGAUGUGCUGAGGAACAAAAGCCCCCAGGAGUAUCCCUCAAGCAGUGUUGGACUGGAGUUGAGGUUAAUCGUCCUCGAAGAGAGAGAGAAACAAAAGAAAAAUGAAAAAAGGAAAGAAAUUUUCUCCACAAAGACUCAGAAAAGCUACAAUCCUAAGAAGUCAAAACUAUAAUCGGCUUGAGUUGAAGAAUCCAAGGAUCUUUACAGUUUUGUGACCUGUCCAAGGUUACACAGCUCACCUUUUCAUUUUGCACUGGGCCCAAGUUAUGUAGCCAGCCUGCUUAGAGAUCUCUACUUACCCCAGUUUUCUGAUUUAUAAAACAAAAAUAAUAAUAAUAUUGUUAAAUUAAAUGAAGCCUAAAGCUGCCUCC